rnacentral:rRNA from 1 species
UACGAAGGUCCCGAGCGUUAUCCGGAUUUAUUGGGUUUAAAGGGUGCGUAGGCGGGUUAUUAAGUCAGUGGUGAAAGCCUUCAGCUUAACUGAAGAACUGCCAUUGAUACUGAUGAUCUUGAGUAUGAUUGAGGUGGGCGGAAUGUGUCAUGUAGCGGUGAAAUGCUUAGAUAUGACACAGAACACCGAUUGCGAAGGCAGCUCACUAAGUCAAUAACUGACGCUGAUGCACGAAAAGCGUGGGGAGCAAACAGG